UUGGAUCUCCACGUUUUCCUGCACGUGGUUUAAUUAUACCCAACCGAAACUAAGUAGGACAGCUGGUGUAGUUUCUGGAAGUUGUAUGAAGGAGCGUAGUGCUGAAUGCAAGUUUAAAAUACUUCGAGAUGAUCUCAUCUGUGACAUUAUCAUAUGUGGACUUAAUGAUAACCGUCUUCGUGAACGUCUUCUUCGAGAACCAGAAUAAACACUACAGAAAACUAUACAAAUGGACAUGCUGCUGAGAAAACAACGGGACAAACGAAGGAACUUAAAAAGGAAAUUAAAAGGCAAAGAAUAUAUUGACAGUAUACA